AUGCUGAAAUGGAUUAGCAGUAGCCCGGACGCCUCCUUUCCGCCAUGGUCGAGCUCUCAGAGACCCUCCUCUGUCAUCUUGCAUUUGAUCGAACACCUAGCUGGCAGCGUGGCAAGAGACGGCCGCACUGCGGGGGUAGUGUGCCACUGGGGUUUCAAGGUCCUCCUCUUCCUCCCCGAUCACGGGCGCCGUGAUGGUCACAUACUUCGGCCAAGCUAUCGCUGCUGUGUGGUGGCCACCACCGCGCCUCCUCUGCGUCCGAGCCGUCGUGCAUGCGUACUUUACGCCGUGCAGGCCCGAGGCCCCGCCUCACGCCCUAGCCAUCGUGCUGUUCCGGGCCGCUGCACGCGUCCGAGCGCCGGGCUCGCCGUUCGCCAUGCGCACGGGUGA
rnacentral:rRNA from 1 species